rnacentral:ncRNA from 1 species
UUUUAGAUUUGAUUUUGGUUUGUUGUAGAUUUAAGAUAAUAUUAUCUAUAUUUGAUUUAUGUAAAUGGGCAAUGAUUGUUUACCCUGGUAGUGUAUUGUUAGUAGAAAUGUAGUUCCAGAAUAAUCGGCUAUGCUUCAUAAGUUUAAACUCUAAUUGUUUUGGUUUUUAUUUUAGUGAUAGUCUUUUUGCUUGAUGGUGAAAUUAGGAGUGAUGUUAAUAAUUGAUAAAAAUUGAGUGUCUAUUAUGAACGACCCGGAUUAGUACCCGGUUAGAGAGAUUUAAUUAGUGCAGGAGUAUUUUGAAACUGAAAGAAUAUUGGCAGGCUCUUAAAUUAUCCUUGGAGGUUGAGUUGUAAUCGAGAACCCUCGUUUUCAUCUUUAGUUUUAGGUUUGUGUAUGAUCGUCUUUUAUAUGCUUAAGGUUUUUAAGAUUAAGUUUUUCUUGUUAAGAUAGAUAUAUAUCCAAUUUAUAUUAAAGAUUUUCUUGACCUACAAUAAAGGGCUUAUUUGGAUAAUUAAAUGAGAUUUUAGUUAGAAAUUGUAAAAGACAGUAUGAAGUAUUUAUUUAUACUUUUGAAGAGUAUUUAGGAGCGGUACAAAUCAUCCAUCAAUUGCCUAAAGGGGAGUAAGUUGUAGUAAAGUAGGACUAGGGGAACCUGGUCUUAGUAAUAGAUUG